GCCCAGGUAGCUCAGUGGUAGAGCACUUCCAUGGUAAGGAAGGGGUCACGAGUUCAAUCCUCGUCCUGGGCUCCA
rnacentral:tRNA from 1 species